UAACAUAAAGAAGCAAUGCUGUGCUAACAGUGAAUAUAAAAUGCACUGUGUGGUGUGCUAAAUGGCUAGUCCUUUAUUUAUUUAUUUUUCUCUCCCCCUUUCCCUACAAAUUCACCUUUGCAUAUUGUACUGUAGUACUUGGCUCUCAUUGAAACUUGUUAGCUGUACCUAAUAAACAUACUAACAUGAUUUUGGUGUAAAAGUGUAACUUCCAGGAUAAAUUCUAAAUGCUCCAGAUGUGCUAAAACUGUCCAGACUAAUUCGGAUAAUUCAUGAACUGGGUGUCUGCCAGCAUUUAUCUACAUUGGUAUUAUGUAGCAAUGCUUUGCACCUGCUUCUGAGCUGCUGGAAAGUAGCAACAAAUUUAUUAGGAAUCUUGUGAAUCUUUUUUUUUUUUUUUUUCCUUUUUGUACUGAAUGAAUUAUUUUCUGCAUAUUCAUAGGCACAACAUACUCAAGUUAACCAGUGGAGUGUAGAAUUUUUCUAUGGAUGUUAUAUUUUUAUAUUGGAAACUGAUGAAAGAAAGCUUCAAGUCUCCCACUCAACCAUUCUAUGUCUGCCUUUGCCCUUAAAGCCAGGAAAUGAUGCACUGGUGUGGCUGAUAAAGCCAAUGAUUCAUACCAGGGGUGACACAUCAGAUGCUGCUUUCUCAUUGCUGUUUGUUUGCUUGUUUUUCUUAUGGCCAUUUUCUGAAUUAACAGAAAGUACCAUGCCUGAGGCAGAUUGUCAGGAUUAUUUGCAUUCAUCAACAAGUGGUGGCUGA
rnacentral:lncRNA from 1 species